rnacentral:rRNA from 1 species
UAUGUUAAAAAAUUUUUCAUNGGGGGAANNNUCCCUUNUNANCCCCNAGGGGGGGGGGGGGGAAAGGGGUGANUUUCAUUUCAGGCACGGGCCUUAUUNCUUGGGGCAAAAACACACCGUUACCAUUGGACGAUACCACGGGUUGCCCAAGGAGCGAUCCGGAGCUAAUCCUCGAAAAUCGUUCCUCAGUUCGGAUUGCAGGCUGAAACCGCCUGCAUGAAGUCGGAGUUGCUAGUAACCGCAGGUCAGCUAUACUGCGGUGAAUACGUUCUCGGGCCUUGUACACACCCCCCGUGAAUCACUAG